rnacentral:rRNA from 1 species
UUUUAUGGAGAGUUUGAUCCUGGCUCAGGAUGAACGCUGGCGGCGUGCCUAAUACAUGCAAGUCGAGCGAACGGAUGAGAAGCUUGCUUCUCUGAUGUUAGCGGCGGACGGGUGAGUAACACGUGGAUAACCUACCUAUAAGACUGGGAUAAAUUCGGGAAACCGGAGCUAAUACCGGAUAAUAUUUUGAACCGCAUGGUUCA